AGCGGGUUCUGCCAGAAGUAGUUAGCCUAACCGCAAGGAGGGCGAUUACCACGGCAGGGUUCGUGACUGGGGUGAAGUCGUAACAAGGUAGCCGUAUCGGAAGGUGCGGCUGGAUCACCUCCUUU
rnacentral:rRNA from 1 species